CACGACGGACAGACAGACAGUGCAGUCACCCAUAAAGUAGAAAGCACUACUAACAGCACUGGAGGGUGUAGUGUUUCCUACUUUAUGGAUGAGUGUACUGUGGGCUUCGGAGACCACGC
rnacentral:pre_miRNA from 13 species